rnacentral:rRNA from 1 species
AGUGAACGCUGGCGGUAGGCCUAACACAUGCAAGUCGAACGGCAGCACAGGAGAGCUUGCUCUCUGGGUGGCGAGUGGCGGACGGGUGAGGAAUACAUCGGAAUCUACUCUGUCGUGGGGGAUAACGUAGGGAAACUUACGCUAAUACCGCAUACGACCUACGGGUGAAAGCAGGGGAUCUUCGGACCUUGCGCGAUUGAAUGAGCCGAUGUCGGAUUAGCUAGUUGGCGGGGUAAUGGCCCACCAAGGCUAAGACGGGUAGCUGGUCUGAGAGGAUGAUCAGCCACACUGGAACUGAGACACGGUCCAGACUCCUACGGGAGGCAGCAGUGGGGAAUAUUGGGCAAUGGGCGCAAGCCUGACCCAGCCAUGCCGCGUGAGUGAUGAAGGCCUUCGGGUCGUAAAGCUCUGUGGGGAGGGAAGAAACGCCUUGUGGCUAAUAUCCACGAGGUUUGACGGUACCUCCUUAGCAAGCACCGGCUAACUCCGUGCCAGCAGCCGCCGUAA